AGAUGCCAUUUUGCAGAUAGCCCCGUAGUAAGUUAAUUUUCAUUAACCACCACGAGGCAUCCCUAUGUCUAGUCCACAUCAGGAUAGCCUCUUACCGCGCUUUGCGCAAGGAGAAGAAGGCCAUG
rnacentral:sRNA from 1 species